UGCAUUCACUACUGUAAGUAUCUCUGGAUAAGAGCGUCUGCUAAAUGACUAAAA
rfam:Salmo salar isolate Sally breed double haploid chromosome ssa01, whole genome shotgun sequence.